GACGAACGCUGGCGGCGUGCCUAACACAUGCAAGUCGAACGGAACCGCCCUGCCUUUGUGGGGUGCUCGAGUGACGACCGGGUGACUUACACGUGGGUAACCUACCCUUGACUGUGGGGUAACUUCAGGCCGCUGGGGCUCAUAGCGCCUAGGAGCUACUGCUGCUUGGUGGGGCUUGGAUAGUUUCGGCGGUUGGUGGUGGACUCGCGGCUUAUCAGCUUGUUGGUGGGGUAGUGGAUUACCAAGGCCUGGAAGGGUAGCCGGGCUGGGAGGGUGACCUGACACACUGCGACUGGGAUACGGCCCAGACUCGUACCGGAGGCAGCAGUGGAGAAUAUUGCACAAUGGGCGGAAGGCAGAUGCGGCAACGCCGCGUGGGGGAUGUCGGGCUGCGGUUUGUAAAGCGCUUUCGCCUGUGACGAGGCGAUAGUGACGGUAAUGGGUAAAGAAGCACCGGCUAACUACGUG
rnacentral:rRNA from 1 species